UCCCAGGUAGCGCUUGUUUAACGUCACGAUCCUGACCCAAACUUUUCUAGCACCCAUCAGUAGAUGCAAAACUUAUCGCCACCCAUCAGUAGGUGUACCUUCCUGUAUCCUUCAGUAGAUACCUAAAUCUUCUAGCAUCCCUUAGUAGAUACUAUCCCAGUAGCAUUCAUCAGUAAACGUCGUUAGUGACAUCCAUCAAUAAAUGUCUAACCAUAUAGCAUCCAUCAGUAGAUGCUAACAUUACUGCCAUCAGAAGCAGCGCAUAACCCAAUAAAAUAAAAUAAAAUAAAAUAAAAUAAAAUAAAAAAUCAAAUCAAAUAAAAUCAAAUCAAAUAAAAUCAAAUCAAAUCAAAUCAAAUCAAAAUGAAAUAAAAGAUAAAAAAAAUUCGGAAACUGGGUUGCCUCCCAGCAAGCGCUCUUUUAACGUCAUUAGCUUGACCCGGUAAAGCCCAAACACCCAUCAGAAGGUGUUGAUAUUUUCUAUUGGCGUUCUUCCUUCCUCCAAUGACACCAACAACAUCUUGAGACUUUUCUUGUCUCCAACUCUAAGGAUCCUCCAUCUUCAUAAUUCUGUUUGCUUUGAUAGUCUUGACAACCCAUAACCUAUUCUUGAAUUUCACUGCUAUGCCAGGUUUGGGUUUGUCACUUUUCACAUCAGGGUGUUGGUCAACCAAUUCUCCUUUCUUAUCUGC
rnacentral:lncRNA from 1 species